GACGAACGCUGGCGGCGUGCUUAAUACAUGCAAGUCAACGACUUUUAGAGUAGCAAUAUUCUAAAGGAAGUGGCGCACGGGUGAGUAACACGUAGGUAAUCUGCCUUCAGGACUGACACAACUCGUCGAAAGACGGGCUAAUAUCAGAUAAUGCAGCGGCUCCGCAUGGAGACAGUUGUUAAAGUACAAGCGCCUGAAGAUGAGCCUGCGGUCCAUUAGCUAGUUGGUAGAGUAAAGCCUACCAAGGCAACGAUGGAUAGCUGGUCUGAGAGGAUGAUCAGCCUCACUGGAACUGAGACACGGUCCAGACUCCUACGGGAGGCAGCAGUAAGGAAUAUUGCUCAAUAGGCCGAAAGGACUGAAGCAGCAACGCCGCGUGAAGGA
rnacentral:rRNA from 1 species